rnacentral:rRNA from 1 species
GACGAACGCUGGCGGCGUGCCUAAUACAUGCAAGUAGAACGCUGAAGCUUGGUGCUUGCACCGAGCGGAUGAGUUGCGAACGGGUGAGUAACGCGUAGGUAACCUGCCUGGUAGCGGGGGAUAACUAUUGGAAACGAUAGCUAAUACCGCAUAAGAGUAUAUGUUGCAUGACAUUUGCUUAAAAGGUGCAAUUGCAUCACUACCAGAUGGACCUGCGUUGUAUUAGCUAGUUGGUGAGGUAACGGCUCACCAAGGCCACGAUACAUAGCCGACCUGAGAGGGUGGUCGGCCACAUUGGGAAUGAGACACGGCCCAGACUCCUACGGGAGGCAGCAGUAGGGAAUCUUCGGCAAUGGACGGAAGUCUGACCGAGCAACGCCGCGUGAGUGAAGAAGGUUUUCGGAUCGUAAAGCUCUGUUGUAAGAGAAGAACGAGUGUGAGAGUGGAAAGUUCACACUGUGACGGUAUCUUACCAGAAAGGGACGGCUAACUACGUG